rnacentral:lncRNA from 1 species
AGUUUCCACAAACACAGAAUGAAUGAGGAAGAAGGUGAUUAUAUUUUCGGUGUGAUCCACGUGGACGAGAGGUGUUGCAUGUUUUUACAAAUUGAAGAUCUGUGACAACCCUGGGUCAAGCAAGUCUAUCAGUGCCAUUCUUCCAACAGUGUAUAUGCUGGAGCAGCUGUACUUAAGUCCAGAAAUAAGAAGAUAUUUGAUCUGAGGACUCAGGAGAGAGCAUGGCUGCUGCAUAGAUGGUGCCUUCCAUCGCUUGACAUAGGGAAGCCCAGCCAAAGCCUGUGUCUUGGGCAGCCGGGGAGCUCUCAGGAUGGCUUGAAAUCUCCCACAUGGCCUGGGCCUGUUCUCCUUCCCCUCCAGCUCUCCUGGGUGCAGUCAAAGCUUCACUCCCUACACCCUACUGAACUAUCAGCUGACUGAUUCCCACUUGUCCAUGCCCCAGGACCCCACAGAAGCUCCACAUGCUUCCACAAGCUGAUGCACCAGUUCCAAGAGGAGGAAGAAAAGCUGGCACUCAGCCUUUAUUUCUCCCCAAACACCACAGUCAUUCAAUUCUGAAAAAAAAAAAAAAAAAAAAACCCAUUGCUUUGAAAAACAUAAAAUGAGAUCUAUCAAACAG